rnacentral:rRNA from 1 species
AACCUGCCCAAGAGAUCGGGAUAACACCUGGAAACAGAUGCUAAUACCGGAUAACAACAGAUGAUGCCUAUCAACUGUUUAAAAGAUGGUUCUGCUAUCACUCUUGGAUGGACCUGCGGUGCAUUAGCUAGUUGGUAGGGUAACGGCCUACCAAGGCGAUGAUGCAUAGCCGAGUUGAGAGACUGAUCGGCCACAUUGGGACUGAGACACGGCCCAAACUCCUACGGGAGGCAGCAGU